AUGGCUCAGUGAGGCCUUGGGACUGGCUCAGAGAGGUCGGCAACGACCACUCAGAGCCGGAAACUUGGUCAAACUUGGUCAUUUAGAGGAAGUAAAAGUCGUAACAAGGUUUCCGUGCUGACACUCCCCAGGAGUCGAGGCAGUCCGGACAAGAACAACGAAGCUAGUGAUCUUUCCACAGGUGACGCUUCGGAAGCCUUAGCAGCCUGAAAGGGUGGCCCUCCGCGACAAUAAACAACAGAAGAGGUGCUGAAAUGCUAGUUGAUACUUUCUGAGUAUUGGCAACACCGUCAAAUUGCGGGAACCCCCUAAAGAUUUCUACUACCAAGCAGUAUUGGGAAACCUUUUUGCUGUGGCCAGGGUAAUGACCUCGGGUAUGGUAACAACGUAGAAGUAUGAUCCUCUGGUCUUCAGAGGUGAAAUGGGCAACCUGCAGCCAAGUCCGUCACACCCGCCCCUGGGUGUCGGAUGCUGUUCACAGGCCAAAUGGUGGUGGGUUGGCUCGAUAGAGCUGGCUUAAGAUAUGGUCGGGCCCCUUGGGAAACCUUGUGGGGUAGUCACCACACAGUCAAAUGGAGGCUUGGAACAAAAAAGUGCAAGUUCCUCGUCAUGGGUGGCUGUGACAACCAAGAGAAUAAUAGAACGUACAUGGAGGCUGCCAAAAUUGCUCUCGCAACUAAUAUUCCUGGUUGACAUACUGUUCCGUAGGUGAACCUGCGGAAGGAUCAUUAUCGAGCUAGGGUCUCUCUAGGCCCGACCUCCCAACCCUUUGUUUACUGAACCUUCGUUGCUUCGGCGGACCCGCCUCUGGGCCGCCGGAGGACCGCCUCACGGCGUCCUCUGGCCCGCGUCCGCCGACGGCCAACCUCAAAAACGCUGAAAUAACCGUGUUGUGUGUCUCAGUCCCAUGAUUAAAUUAAAGCAAAACUUUCAACAACGGAUCUCUUGGUUCUGGCAUCGAUGAAGAACGCAGCGAAAUGCGAUAAGUAAUGCGAAUUGCAGAAUUCCAGUGAGUCAUCGAAUCUUUGAACGCACAUUGCGCCCUUUGGCAUUCCGAAGGGCAUGCCUGUUCGAGCGUCAUUAUCACCCCUCGGGCCCUGGGCUCGAUGUUGGACGGCCGGUCGGGCAACCGACCCCUCCUAAAGACAAUGACGGCGGCCUGUGGCGCCCCCGGUACACUGAGCUUUUCACGGAGCACGUACCGGACGAGGGCGCCCGGGACCCGGUCCUCUCCUUUCGGUAGGAAACUUCUCAAAGGUUGACCUCGGAUCAGGUAGGAAUACGCGCUGAACUUAAGCAUAUCAAUAAGCGCAGGAAAAGAAACCAACAGGGAUUACCUCAGUAACGGCGAGUGAAGCGGUAAUAGCUCAAAUUUGAAAUCUGGCCUCUCGGGGUCCGAGUUGUAAUUUGUAGAGGAUGUUUUGGGUACCGCCCCGGUCUAAAUUUCUUGGAACAGAAUGUCAUAGAGGGUGAGAAUCCCGUCUUGGACCGGCGGUAGGGCCUGUGUAAAACUCCUUCGACGAGUCGAGUUGUUUGGGAAUGCAGCUCAAAAUGGGUGGUAAAUUUCAUCUAAAGCUAAAUAUUGGCCAGAGACCGAUAGCGCACAAGUAGAGUGAUCGAAAGAUGAAAAGCACUUUGAAAAGAGAGUUAAACAGUAUGUGAAAUUGUUGAAAGGGAAGCGCUUGCAACCAGACUUGAGCGCGGCGGUUCCCCCGGCCUUUUGGCUGGGCUACUCCGCCGUGUCCAGGCCAACAUCGGUUCUGAGGGUCGGUCAAAGGCCCCGGGAAUGUAUCUACCCACGGGUAGACUUAUAGACCGGGGUGUCAUGCGGCCUCUCGGGACCGAGGAACGCGCUUCGGCUCGGAUGUUGGCGUAAUGGUUGUCAGCGACCCGUCUUGAAACACGGACCAAGGAGUCUAACAUCUAUGCGAGUGUUUGGGUGUCAAACCCGGAACGCGGAAUGAAAGUGAACGGAGGUAGGAAGCUUCGGCUGCACUAUCGACCGAUCCUGAAGUUUACGGAAGGAUUUGAGUAAGAGCAUAGCUGUUGGGACCCGAAAGAUGGUGAACUAUGCCUGAAUAGGGUGAAGCCAGAGGAAACUCUGGUGGAGGCUCGCAGCGGUUCUGACGUGCAAAUCGAUCGUCAAAUUUGGGUAUAGGGGCGAAAGACUAAUCGAACCAUUAGUUACCGGUGGUUGAGUGUACCCAUGAAAGUGGGUGCAAGUGCCUAGUUCUGGCGCGACACUAUCAAAUUGCGGGGACUCCCUAAAGCUUUAACGACCGCCCCGCCAUAUGAAAAUACGGCGCGGGCACCAGGUUAACGACCUCGGGUGUGGUAAAACUGUUAAAGAUGCAACAAUGGGUAAUCUGCAGCCAAGUUCUAAGGGCCUGUCGGCCUAUGGACGCAGUUCACAGACUAAAUGGUAGUGGGCUCUUCGUGGGCUUAAGACAUAGUCGGUCCCCCAGGGAAACCUGGGCAUACGCGCUAAAUCUGGGGGGAAGACUCUGCCCUGGGCAGUUCCCCCAGACCUGAACGGUAUGGGCGCCCCUCGGG
rnacentral:rRNA from 1 species